rnacentral:rRNA from 1 species
GACGAACGCUGGCGGCGUGCUUUACACAUGCAAGUCGAACGGAAAGGCCCUGCUUUUGUGGGGUGCUCGAGUGGCGAACGGGUGAUUAACCCGUGAGUAACCUGCCCUUGACUUUGGGAUAACUUCAGGAAACUGGGGCUAAUACCGGAUAGGAGCUCCUGCUGCAUGGUGGGGGUUGGACAGUUUCGGCGGUUGGGGAUGGACUCGCGGCUUAUCAGCUUGUUGGUGGGGUAGUGGCUUACCAAGGCUUUGACGGGUAGCCGGCCUGAGCGGGUGACCGGCCACAUUGGGACUGAGAUGAGGCCCAGGCUCCUACGGGAGGCAGCAGUGGGGAAUAUUGCACAAUGGGCGGAAGCCUGAUGCAGCAACGCCGCGUGCGGGAUGACGGCCUUCGGGUUGUAAACCGCUUUCGCCUGAGACGAAGCGUGAGUGAAGGUAAUGGGUAGAGAAGCACCGGCUAACUACGUG